GGGGGUGUAGCUCAGUGGUAGAGCAUCUGUUUGGUAUGUGGAAGGUCCCUGGUUCAAUCCCUGGCAUCUCCA